AAAACAUGGUUUUUAGUUAAUUAUUUAAGAUUGGGCCUGCCCAAUGAUGUUUAUUUAAUGGCCGCAGUAUUUUAACUGUGCUAAGGUAGCAUAAUCAUUUGUCUUUUAAUUAAGGGCUUGUAUGAAUGGUCGGACGAGGUAUUAUCUUUCUUUUAAUUAUCUUGUGAAUUUAAUUUUUGAGUUAAAAAGCUUAAAUUUUUUUGAGGGACGAGAAGACCCUAUAGAUCUUAAUAUUUAUAGAUUUUUGAUUUGUUUGUUUUAUUGAAGAAUUUAAUGUUUUAGGUAUUUUGUUGGGGUGACAGGAGAAUUUAUAAUAACUUCUUUUUAGUUUUUAUCAUUUAUUUAUGUUUUUUUGAUCCAUUUAUUUAAAUGAUUAUAAGUUUAAGUUACCUUAGGGAUAACAGCGUAAUUUUCUUGGAAAGUUCUUAUUGAUGGGGAAGUUUGCGACCUCGAUGUUGGAUUAUAAUAAGUUGUAAGGUGUAGUAGCUUACUUACUGGGUCUGUUCGACCUUUAAAUUUUUACAUGAUCUGAGUU
rnacentral:rRNA from 1 species